rnacentral:rRNA from 1 species
GAUGAACGCUAGCUACAGGCUUAACACAUGCAUGUCGAGGGGCAGCAUGAACAUAGCUUGCUAUGUUUGAUGGCGACCGGCGCACGGGUGCGUAACACGUAUCCAAUCUGCCCGUUACUCGGGGAUAGCCUUCUGAAAGGAAGAUUAAUACCCGAUGGCAUGUAUUUCCGGCAUCGGAGAUACAUUAAAGAUUUAUCGGUAACGGAUGAGGAUGCGUACGAUUAGCUGGUUGGCGGGGUAACGGCCCACCAAGGCGACGAUCGUUAGGGGUUCUGAGAGGAAGGUCCCCCACACUGGAACUGAGACACGGUCCAGACUCCUACGGGAGGCAGCAGUGAGGAAUAUUGGACAAUGGGGGCAACCCUGAUCCAGCGACGCCGCGUGAGUGAAGAAGUAUUUCGGUAUGUAAAAGCUCUAUCAGCAGGGAAGAUUAAAUGACAGUACCUGACUAAGAAGCACCGGCUAAAAUACGUGCCAGCAGCCG